rnacentral:rRNA from 1 species
GGUGAACGCUGGCGGUAGGCCUAACACAUGCAAGUCGAACGGCAGCACAGUAAGAGCUUGCUCUUACGGGUGGCGAGUGGCGGACGGGUGAGGAAUACAUCGGAAUCUACUUUUUCGUGGGGGAUAACGUAGGGAAGCUUACGCUAAUACCGCAUACGACCUACGGGUGAAAGCAGGGGAUCUUCGGACCUUGCGCGAUUGAAUGAGCCGAUGUCGGAUUAGCUAGUUGGCGGGGUAAAGGCCCACCAAGGCGACGAUCCGUAGCUGGUCUGAGAGGAUGAUCAGCCACACUGGAACUGAGACACGGUCCAGACUCCUACGGGAGGCAGCAGUGGGGAAUAUUGGACAAUGGGCGCAAGCCUGAUCCAGCCAUACCGCGUGGGUGAAGAAGGCCUUCGGGUUGUAAAGCCCUUUUGUUGGGAAAGAAAAGCAGCAGGUUAAUACCCCGCUGUUCUGACGGUACCCAAAGAAUAAGCACCGGCUAACUUCGUG